AGAACGAACGCUGGCGGCAUGCCUAAUACAUGCAAGUCGAACGAACACUUCGGUGUUAGUGGCGCACGGGUGCGUAACGCGUGGGAAUCUGCCCUUGGGUUCGGAAUAACAGUUAGGAAACGACUGCUAAUACCGGAUGAUAUACGAAAGAUACAAAGAUUUAUCGCCCAGGGAUGAGCCCGUCGUAGGAUUAGCUAGUUGGUGAGGUAAGGCUCACCAGGCGACGAUCCUUAGCUGGUCUGAGAGGAUGAUCGACGCCACACGUGGGACUAGGAGACACCGGCCAGACCUCCGUACGGGAGGCAGCGAGUAGGAAUAGUCGGAACAAGUGGGAC
rnacentral:rRNA from 1 species